CCCACCCCACACGGGCUGGUGGACGGACGCUCGGUUGAGUUACAAAAAUAAACCCGCAACAGCUUCCGACACGCCGCUCCGCACGAAACGUACGAUACAGCCAGGCUCCCGCACGCACGCACACACAAAAAAAUAAA